rnacentral:rRNA from 1 species
CAAGACCUUGCGCUUUUGGAGCGGCCGAUGUCUGAUUAGCUAGUUGGUGGGGUAAUGGCUUACCAAGGCUUCGAUCAGUAGCUGGUCUGAGAGGACGACCAGCCACACUGGGACUGAGACACGGCCCAGACUCCUACGGGAGGCAGCAGUGGGGAAUUUUGGACAAUGGGGGAAACCCUGAUCCAGCCAUGCCGCGUGAGUGAAGAAGGCCUUCGGGUUGUAAAGCUCUUUCAGCCGGAACGAAAUGGUCAUGGUUAACACCCGUGACAAAUGACGGUACCGGAAGAAGAAGCACCGGCUAACUACGUGCCAGCAGCCGCGGUAAUACGUAGGGUACAAGCGUUAAUCGGAAUUACUGGGCGUAAAGCGUGCGCAGGCGGUUUUGUAAGUCAGAUGUGAAAUCCCCGGGCUUAACCUGGGAACUGCGUUUGAAACUACAAUG